UGCCAGACUCCUACGGGAGGCAGCAGUGGGGGAUAUUGGACAAUGGGGGAAACCCUGAUCCAGCGACGCCGCGUGAGUGAAGAAGUAUUUCGGUAUGUAAAGCUCUGUCAGCAGGGAAGAAAGAAAUGACGGUACCUGACCAAGAAGCCUCGGCUAACUACGUGCCAGCAGCCGCGGUAAUACGUAGGGGGCGAGCGUUAUCCGGAUUCACUGGGUGUAAAGGGAGCGUAGACGGCCAAGCAAGCCAGGGGUGAAAGCCCGGGGCCCAACCCCGGGACUGCCCUUGGAACUGCAUGGCUGGAGUGCGGGAGGGGCAGGCGGAAUUCCUGGUGUAGCGGUGAAAUGCGUAGAUAUCAGGAGGAACACCGGCGGCGAAGGCGGCCUGCUGGACCGCGACUGACGUUGAGGCUCGAAAGCGUGGGGAGCGAACAGGAUUAGAUACCCCCGUA
rnacentral:rRNA from 1 species